rnacentral:lncRNA from 1 species
AAUUUCCCGUGUCCUUGACAUCCCACCAGAACUUUUGAGGUGUCCAUGGGUUCCUCACACCCCAGAGACUCCAUAAUGACAUCAGGAGCUGUUCCACAGUGUCCCUAUGGUUCUCCACAAACCCCCCUGAGAUGUGGCCACCAAAAAUUCCUCCCCUUCCUAUCAGCCCAGAAGAACUUUUGAGGUGUCCAUGGGUUCCUCACCCCCCAGAGACUCCAUAACUGCAUCUGGAUCCCUUCUAGAGUGUCCCCAUUGUUCUCCACAAAGCCCUCUGAGAUGUGGCCACCACCAAUUCCCGCCCUUUCCCUCAGCCCAGAAGAACUUUUGAGGUCUCCAUGGGUCCCUCCCACCCCAGAGACUCCAUAACUGCACCUGGAUCUGUUCCAGAGUGUCCCCAUGGUUCUCCACAAACCCCCCUGAGAUGUGGCCACCACAAAUUCACACCCUUCCCCUCCCCCCAGAAGAACCGUUCUGGUGUCCCAUUGUCCCCCAACCCCUGGAGACUCCAGAACCACGUCUGGAUCCCCUUGGUCACCGCUCCAUUGUCUUCUCCAAACCCCCCUGAGAUGUGGCCACCACAGAUUCUUCCUCUUCUCCAGGGACAACCUGGGGAGAACCUGGGACAAUCCUGGGGAGGAGAUGGGGGAGGGGGAUGGAGGAGCCUGGAGUGAUGGGGGAGGGGAUGGGGGGAGCUGGAGGGUCCUGGUGGCUUUGGGACAUCUUGGGACAUCCUGGGACACUCUGGGGUGGCCUUGGGACAUCUCUGGGACAUCCUUGGGUGGCUUUGGGACUUCCUGGGAAACUCUGGGGUGGCUUUGGGACAUCCAUGGGAUAUCCUUGGGUGGCUUUGGGACAUCCUGGGACAUCAUUGGGUGGCCUUGGGACAUCCUGAAGGAGACAAGCUGUGGUGGCUUUGGGACAUCCAUGGGACACCCAUGGGUGGCUUUGGGACACUCUGAAGAGUCCCGAGGUGGCUCUGGGUCAUCUGUGGGACACUUAUGGGACACCCUGGGGUGGCUCUGGGACGUCCUGGAGGGACCCUGGGACAUCCUGGGGUGGCUUUGGGACACCCUGGAGGUGACACCCUGGGGUGACUUUGGGACACCUGUGGGACAUCCUGGGACACCCAUGGGUGGCUUUGGGACACCUUGGGGUGGCUGUGGGACAUUCAUGGGACACCCUGGAGGUGACAACCUGAGGUGGCUUUGGGACAUCCGUGGGACACCCUAAAGGGU